CAGUGGAAUUAUGGGAGGAAACAAGAGAGAGAGAGAGAGUAAAUAUGCAAAGUAUUCAUGCAUUAUAGAUACCAUGGCAACAACUUAAAACAUGCAUUCUAUUAUGUCAUGUUAGAUUAUGACUGAAGUAAAGACACUAGAGUUAUUAUAGUUAAAGAUAACGUAUGUACGAUUUUUUAUACAGGCUGAGAGUUUGGGGCGUGGCUACUGUAGUGGGCGGAGAGUUUGGGGCGUGGCUACUGUAGCAGGCGGAGAGUUUGGGGCAUGGCUACUGUAGCAGGCAGAGGGUUUGGGGCGGGGCUACUGUAGCAGGUGUAGAGUUUGAGGCAUGGCUACUGUAGCAGGUAUAGAGUUUAGGGCGUGGCUACUGUAGCAGCUGUAGAGUUUGAGGCGUGGCUACUGUAGCAGCUGUAGAGUUUGGGGCGUGGCUACUGUAGCAGCUGUAGAGUUUGAGGCGUGGCUACUGUAGCAGCUGUAGAGUUUGGGGCGUGGCUACUGUAGCAGGUGGAGAAUUUGGGGCGUGGCUACUGUAGCAGGUGGAGAGUUUGAGGCGUGGCUACUGUAGCAGGUGGAGAGUUUGGGGCGUGGCUACUGUAGCAGGCAGAGAGUUUGGGGCAUGGCUACUGUAGCAGGUGUAGAGUUUAGGGCGUGGCUACUGUAGCAGCUGUAGAGUUUGAGGCAUGGCUACUGUAGCAGGUAUAGAGUUUAGGGCGUGGCUACUGUAGCAGCUGUAGAGUUUGAGGCGUGGCUACUGUAGCAGCUGUAGAGUUUGAGGCAUGGCUACUGUAGCAGGUAUAGAGUUUAGGGCGUGGCUACUGUAGCAGCUGUAGAGUUUGAGGCGUGGCUACUGUAGCAGCUGUAGAGUUUGGGGCGUGGCUACUGUAGCAGGUGGAGAGUUUGGGGCGUGGCUACUGUAGCAGGUGGAGAGUUUGAGGCGUGGCUACUGUAGCAGGUGGAGAGUUUGGGGCGUGGCUACUGUAGCAGGUGGAGAGUUUGAGGCGUGGCUACUGUAGCAGGUGGAGAGUUUGGGGCGUGGCUACUGUAGCAGGUGGAGAGUUUGGGGCGUGGCUACUGUAGCAGGUGGAGAGUUUGAGGCGUGGCUACUGUAGCAGGCGGAGAGUUUGGGGAAGAUGUUUAGCCGCUGUGGGACCAUAAACCAUAACUGAUGCGUUACCUGGGAAAAGACAUUCAUUUCGGUUACAGGAGUAUAAGAUGAAAUUCACUGCAUUUAGACUAGAUUAAACAGGUCAUGAACACAUCAAAGUGAUGCGGUGCACUACAAUAGUAACUUCAGAACCAUAGAGCGUCAUCAUGCACCCGUUCAAAAAGACAAAUGUACCAGUUUAUAAUGUUUACUUUCAUGUGUCCAGUGUCCAUCUGUCCCGUGGCGUCAUGGGAUAGUAGGUGUCCACCAAAUGCAUACUUCAGAAUUUCGCCAGAAGUAGUAGGUCAUCCGGGGACUUUUCACCUACUGUUUUUCGAUUACUAUAUAGUAGGGAAGUAUCUUAUUUUGGAUGCGAAACAGAAUUCUUUGCACUGAACAGGAAGUCGCUCUUCCAAAGAGGAAGUAAAGACUAUUUCUAUUAACAAAAGUUGCAUCAGUGAAGUAUUCGAGCUGUAACUAUUAAACUUCACUGAGCUUCAGUUUGAGCUUCAGCACUGAGACUGAAUGAACCACAAACAGACCAUUAAUGAGAAACAGAGCAGCAGUGAGAGCUGGAAUAUAUCUGGAUCACCAGCCGCCCAAACAUAAACACACACACACAUACACACACACACAAACACAGGAAACAUUUUGUAACUGAAUCAAAAUCAAAACGAAUCAUCAGACGCCUAAAGUGUUGGCUUACUACAUCUUCUGAUCUCGCAAGCCUU